rnacentral:tRNA from 1 species
GGAAGUAUGCCCGAAAAAUAAGGACCUCCUUGAUAGGGAGAACAAUAGAGGUUUAAAUCCUCUUACUUCCU